rnacentral:rRNA from 1 species
UACGUAGGGCGCAAGCGUUGUCCGGAAUUACUGGGCGUAAAGGGCUCGUAGGUGGCCAACUAAGUCAUACGUGAAAUCCCUCAGCUUAACUGGGGAACUGCGUCUGAUACUGGAUGGCUUGAGUUUGGGAGAGGGAUGCGGAAUUCCAGGUGUAGCGGUGAAAUGCGUAGAUAUCUGGAGGAACACCGGUGGCGAAGGCGGCAUCCUGGACCAAUACUGACACUGAGGAGCGAAAGCCAGGGGAGCAAACGGG